UACAGAGGGUGCGAGCGUUGUCCGGAAUCACUGGGCGUAAAGGGCGCGUAGGCGGUCAGCACAAGUCAGUUGUGAAAUCUCCGGGCUUAACUCGGAAAGGUCAACUGAUACUGUGCGACUAGAGUGCAGAAGGGGCAACUGGAAUUCUCGGUGUAGCGGUGAAAUGCGUAGAUAUCGAGAGGAACACCUGCGGCGAAGGCGGGUUGCUGGGCUGACACUGACGCUGAGGCGCGAAAGCCAGGGGAGCGAACGGG
rnacentral:rRNA from 1 species